AUGUCAGACAGUACUGAGGCAGGCAGCGUUUGAUAAAGUGACUUGGCAUUGAGCUUGUUUCUGUAAUGCUGACUGACGGGCCAAACUUGACGUUGACAUUUUUGUUUACCAUCCUUUCUACCAAUGGGGCACACCCUGCCAUGCAGCUUGUCACCAAUGACGUGAAAUUAUUUCAUUUCUUAUUGAGGGAAGUAACCAGGCAGAUGUUUAUUGUGUGAUGCAAAAUGUAACCUUGAGCCUUAACUAUGAGGGAUUCGUGAAGUCGUACGUUUAUUUCCAUCCCCUUAUUUCAUGUAUGCACUUUGUGUUUGAGUCCCAGCCUGUCUGCUUUGGGCAAUGAAUUAACCUACUCUGAGGAACACUUUCACCCUGAAUAUCAUUUUAUUCUUUAUUCAUUAUUAUGAGUUUUAUUUCUGAUUAUGAUCUUAUUCAUUCUGUUUAAUUUGUAAAAAUGAAAUAACCUGUACUAGAGUCUGCAUUACAAGACUUCAUUAGGAGUAACAAAAGUAUAAGGAAGCUGAAGGUUUGUCUUUUUUUAAAGGUCAGAAAACUCCUUCUGAUCAUAUAAGUAUCACAUGCUGUACAUACAUUGAUUAACAGUUUAGUCAUUUAAACUUGUUUGUUUCUUUACUUCAUUAAGAAAAUAAAGUUGUUCCCUAUAAAAAAGUUUAUUUUC